GGCAUGGUCUGUUUUCAGAGACACAGCAAACCAAAAAUACACAAAGUCCAGAAGUCAAGAGCCAGAAGCAAGGGAUUCUGUGACUGUUGUGCUCUGAGAAGCAAGAGGCAGCUUUGCUCUGCACCUGGGCUGGAGCUGCUCCUCCCCUCAGCAGAGAGCAGGACACGAGGGUGCUGCUGCACGUGUGGAACAAGUGGCAAUCUGCAGUGCUGAGAGGAGCACGAGCUGAAAACAUGGGUUCUGUGGUUUCAUCCUGUAUUGCAACCUUCCAGCCGAAGACCAUAUAAGUCAAAACAGAAGGAACAGAAAGCCUCAUUUAUCUGAGGCAGCAUCUUCUUGCAGUCAUCAUCCUCCAACUGCUUUGAUGUUACAAGAGAUUACAUUGAGGUAUGAUUAGAAGGGAUGCUGGAAUUAUGCCCACCUCUCCUCCCAGGAUUUUUAAGAGAGAUAUCCUCAAGAACUGUACUUGAAGCAACAGGAACAAAAGUCUGCUCAUAAGAUAAAGAGGGAUUCCUUUCUGAAGAACUUGUGCCUAUUGCCUCUUGUCCUGUCCCCAUGCAUGCCUAAGAAGAAAACACCUCCCUCUCCACCACAGCUGCGCUUUCAAGUACUGGAAGAGUGAAAGUGCGUCACUUGGGCUUCUUCUCUCAGGCUGAAAAAACUCCAAUCCUCUGAUUUUCCUCUCAGGGAUUUUUUCAC